rfam:Plicaturopsis crispa FD-325 SS-3 unplaced genomic scaffold PLICRscaffold_2, whole genome shotgun sequence.
GGACCCGUGGCUCAGUGGUAGAGCAUGUGAUUCCAGCAGCAUCUGCUUGGAGCAUCCACAAGGUCAUCCGUUCGAUCCGGGUCGGGUUCA